rnacentral:misc_RNA from 1 species
AAGUCGUAACAAGGUCUCCGUAGGUGAACCUGCGGAGGGAUCAUCAAAGGAUUUUUCCAAAGAAAAAAGGGUGUAUUGCUUUUUUCCUUGUAAAAGAGGAGAGGAGUGGUAUGCUCUUUUUUCUUCAAACAAACGAUCACAACUAUUGAAUGAAUGAAUGAAAUUUGAUUUGGUUUGACUUGACUUGAAAAAAAAAGUGUUUGCCUGAUAAUCUAAUGGUUUGGAAAAACAAGAGAAAGAAAUACAACUUUCAACAACGGAUCUCUUGGCUCUCA